AUUCUACUCCCUCCAUUGCACAAUACAUGCCUUCUAUUUGUCAAAAUAUAUAUGUAUCUAGACAUGUUUUAGUAUAUAGGUACAUCCAUUUUUGGACAAAUGGAAGUCAAGUAUUUUGGAANUGUUUUAGUAUAUAGGUACAUCCAUUUUUGGACAAAUGGAAGUCAAGUAUUUUGGAACGGAGGGAGUACACA
rnacentral:pre_miRNA from 1 species